GGAUUAGUGGCGAACGGGUGAGUAACACGUGAGUAACCUGCCCUUAACUCUGGGAUAAGCCUGGGAAACUAGGUCUAAUACCGGAUAGGAGCGCCUACCGCAUGGUGGGUGUUGGAAAGAUUUAUCGGUUUUGGAUGGACUCGCGGCCUAUCAGCUUGUUGGUGAGGUAAUGGCUCACCAAGGCGACGACGGGUAGCCGGCCUGAGAGGGUGACCGGCCACACUGGGACUGAGACACGGCCCAG
rnacentral:rRNA from 1 species